AUACCCUUGAAGUUUCAUGAUUAUUACAAUUUUACAAUAUUCUUCUACCUUCUAUUAAUACCCUCUCUGAUACGCCUCUAAGUUUGGAGAACUGAAAUCACAAAACCCCUUUUCUUAGAACAAAAAAAAAACCAAAAUAUAUAUUCUCUUUCUGUUUUCACUGGAAUUCAAAUUCGCUCUUCAACAAUGGCGGCAACAGCAUCACGCCAUGAACGUUCACUUUCACCAUCUGGAAGAUUCUGCGUAACUUCAAUUUCUUCAUCUUCUACUUUUUCUACAUCAUCAUUCUCUCGUCAAUCUCCUUCUUCUCUUCUACACCGAUCUUCAUCUCCGACAAGAGUUAGCUAUGGAUCUACACCACAAACGGCAUCGCCUUCGUUUAAAUUCUCUAUUAACCAAUCCUUUUCCGCGGUUAAUCAGAACCGUAAUCCGCUUCCAACGGCGUCAAAGAAGAGGACGUGUUUGUGUUCUCCGACGACUCAUACCGGUUCAUUCCGGUGUAAUUAUCACAAGAAUUUGGAGGCAAAAAAGCAGACGUAUACGGUGUAUCAGCCGAAUAGGUUGAAUAUGCGGAGAUCGGCGAUGACAAACUCUCUCGUGAGGAUUGGUACUGUUGAAGGUGGUGAAUGGGUGAAGCGUGCGCUUGCUACUUUAAUUCGUCCUUGCGCUCACCAACAAAAAAGACGAGCCGAUUUUCAGCCUCGUCCAAGUCGACUCAGUGUUAUGUCCAAGGCUGAUGAUAAUGGUAGCAGUUAUUGACAAAUUGGAGUUUAUGUUGUUUUUCACUGUACAGGAGCGGCGGAGCGUUCGAGUGGACUCACUGAGUUGUGGAUCGUUUCAGUGAGUGGAUGCCGAGUCGUCUCACCGAUUUUUUGUGCUUUUGUAUAUAGAAAAAUUCGGAUCUGAAUUUUAUACAAGACCUAGUAGGUGGAAAUUUUGUGCAAGAGUUGAGUUACUUGAUUUGGGAUUUAUUUCAGACCUUUUUGGUUGCUGUACUUCUUGUCUCUGGAUACAUAAUACUCCUAAGACUUUAUUGAUAACUUUUUGAAUGAAUUUAUUAAACAUUUUUAAGAAUAUAUAAAAAAUAAUUUUAAAAAUGAAAAACUCAUUUGUUAUUUUUGAACAAAAAAAAAAAGUAAAUUGACUUUAAAUCUAUUAUAUAAUACAAAAAGUUGAUACAAAUGUACAUGAAGUUAUAAAAAUAAACAAUUUUUUUCACAAAUUAUUAUAAAAAAACGAUCUGUAAAAUUAUUUCAUACCUUACGAUUAAGCCACUAAUCUAAUAUAUUGUGAGAAAAAAUAAUUCAGUGAAACAGAAAAGAUAAUACUCCAUAACCUUAUAGGACAGCUAGAUCCAAUCCUAAUUUUAGGUUUAGAGCCAUUUUUGUGACACAUCGGAAACUAUUUUGAGUCAAACUUUUGAUAUAAAUAACUAAGGGGCAUUUAGUAUAUUGGAAUUGGAAUUUGGGAUAAGAAUGAGAGAUUGGAAUUAUAAUUUAAUUGUUGAGAAUUUGUAUAAUAUAUUUUUAUUUUUGUUUGGUAUGUUAAUGAGAAUAAGUUGGAAAUUGUGAAUAUAUAUUAAAAAUAAAAUAUUAAUUUACAAUUUCACAAAUUAAAAAUUAAAAAAAAAAACAUAUAAAAUUGUAUAAAUAAGAGUAUAAAACUUUUUUCCACCUAAAAUUUAAUUCCCAACCUCUAAUACUUACCCCUUGGUAUUGAAAUCUUAGGAAUUCAUGGGAUAUAAUCCCAUUACCAAUUUUUAUUUCUAAUUCUAAUCCCAUUUACCAAAUAAGAGAUUUUAUGAAAUUUGGGAAUUAAUAAAUUCUCAUUUCUAUCCCCUAAUCCCACAUGCCAAAUAUCCCCUAAAAACAUAUGGGACUGGCGAAUUCAUAUUUGAAACUUAAUGGGAGGACAAUUGAUAAAAAAAUUCAAUAAAAAAUUCAAAAAUUAUAAAUAUAUAAAUGUAAAAAUAAUAUAUUCAAUUGGAUGUUUUGUAUUGUUGAACAUAAAAAAAGAGAUAGUUAAGAAAAAUUAAUUAGGUUUUAAAUAAGUAUUGUAAAUUGUAAUUGCAUUUAACUGAGCAUUGUUAUACAACUGAACACAUAUUAAGUACAAUUAAAAUCCUUUAUUAGUAAAGAAAAUUGAAUAGUAUAGUUGGUUUAGGCCUUGCCUCACAACCCACAUAUCACAGGUUUAAAUCCUAUUAUCUAACUUUUUAGAAAGCAUGAGGGCACCAAGAUCCGCCCAUGAAUAUGGGUGUGAAUUUAGGAUCUUUAAAUUCAAAGUCAAUCCAACCUGCUUAAGAUCUGUAUUUAGACUUAAUUCACGUCCAUUUUAAAUUCAACUCAUUAAUCAAUUUUAAAUUCAUAUUAAGCCUAUUAAGAUGAGUAUCUUACAAGUGUAGCCCUAAAAACUAAUAAGCAAUAGAGUGGUGCGCAACAUUCAUAAAAGAGGAAACUUCAUUUAAGAGUAAUUGCCCCUUCCUAAAAUUAAUUUUUAUCUCUACAAUUCAAUUCUAAAUUCAGAGAGAAAUCGUGUAAGACUGAUCAAAAUUGUAUUCUAUCAAUAAAAUCCUCAAGAAGUAUCAAUUUGAAAUGAUUAAUAAUGCGUAAAUUUGAUAUUAUUACUGCUUAAAUUUAAUCCUAUGUAACAAAUCAUAACUGAAAUUCAUGUUGGUGAUGAAAUGGAUGGGUUAUACCAAAAAAACCUGAUAUGAAACGACACGGUAUACCACUAAAAUCAACAUUGAAUUGUUUUAAGUUGGUCCUGUCCUGUCAAUGU